GACAGAGGUGCCAGGCGUUAGGCGGAAUCACUGGGCUUAAAGCGUGUGUAGGCGGAUUCCUAAGUACCUUGUGAAAUCCCACGGCUCAACCGUGGAACUGCUCGGUAUACUGGGUAUCUUGAGCCACUUAGGGGCGACCGGAACAAAUGGUGGAGCGGUGAAAUGCGCAGAUAUCAUUUGGAACGCCAAUGGUGAAAACAGGUCGCUGGGAGUGUGCUGACGCUGAGACACGAAAGCCAGGGGAGCAAACGGG
rnacentral:rRNA from 1 species